rnacentral:rRNA from 1 species
AUUGAACGCUGGCGGCAGGCUUAACACAUGCAAGUCGAACGAGUGGCGGACGGGUGAGUAAUGCUUGGGAAUCUGGCUUAUGGAGGGGGAUAACGACGGGAAACUGUCGCAAAUACCGCGUACCAUAGGAUGAGCCCAAGUGGGAUUAGGUAGGUGGUGGGGUAAUGGCCUACCAAGCCGACGAUCACUAGCUGGUCUGAGAGGAUGACCGGCCACACCGGGACUGAGACACGGCCCGAACGCCAACGGGAGGCAGCAGGGGGGAAUAUGGCGCAAUGGGGGCAACCUGACGCAGCCAUACCGCGUGAAUGAAGAAGGCCUUCGGGUUAUAAAAUGCUUUCGGUGACGAGGCGGUAAUCACAGAAGAAGCACCGGCUAGCUCCGUGCCAGCAGCCGCGGUAAUAC